GGAUAAAGCAUAUCUGAACCUGGAAGCUGAUUCCCACUGCAGAAAGCGUUCUGAGUCAUGUCCCUUAGCUUCACUAGCACAGGUCCACCCGGGAGGAUGGCCCAGCAUCAGCUCGGCCCAUGCUGUGAUCAGCCACCUCCAUGCACCACACCAAGCAAGCUCCCUGGGUGAUUCACAGUCUCCACCACCAGGGCACUGACCUUUACUCUGUGUUCUAGCUCCCUAUGGGGACCCUGUACAGGACAUCGCUAAUGACACUGUACAAAACAUCUGUAAUGAGGACGCCCUAUAUGAGAUCACUAAUGAGGCCGCUGUACACGAUACCAAUCAGCAUGCUGUACAAGACAUCUGUAAAAAAGACGCUGCCAAGGAGUCAUUUAUAGUGGAAAACGAUUUGAUUGUGGAGAGCAUAUCUGACGAUGAGGAUUUUGCAGGUAGGUAACUACUUUCCAGGUAAGAUCCAAUGGGAGAGAGUUCCCAGGGCCUUCGGGGUAUCCGUGCUGCUUGGGAGGUUGAGGGGAGGGGG